GGAGCGAAUUGGGCAGCGGCGCAGCAAGGAAGUUUUUCUUUGCUGCGAGGAAAGUCCGGGCUUCAUAGGGCAGGAUACCUGCUAACGGCAGGCCGAGGCGACUCGAGGGACAGUGCAACAGAAAGAUACCGCCGGCAGUCCUGCCGGUAAGGAUGGAAAGGCGAGGUAAGAGCUCACCGGGGUACAGGCGACUGUACUGCCAUGUAAACCCUAUCCGAAGCAACACCGACGAAGGCGAUACGGCGGCCCGCCGUGCCUUGACAGGUGGCUAGAACCGUCUGGCGACAGCCGGUCCAGAAAGAUCGUUGUCCGCGACAGAACCCGGCUUAUAGAUUCCCUCCCUGC
rnacentral:RNase_P_RNA from 1 species